ensembl:lncRNA
CAGCUAAAUGCUCUCUCAUGUCUCGUCAUUGAGCAGAACAGCCCAACUAGAACUGUUGCUAUGGUUACUCAUCGACUCACAGAGUGCAUGCAGAGCGAGCUGCUCGCAGGGAGCAAGUUAUAGACAGAGAGGACGUUAUUUAUGAUUUCGGGUUUCGGGCAGGGCCAGGCUUUAAAUUUGCAGAAGUAAUCAGGCCUGGUUCGGGUGGGGCCUGAAUGUCGUGGGCCUGGGUAGGUAAUGAAUGUCGUGGGCCUGAAUGUCGUGGGCCUGGGUAGGUAAUGAAUGUCGUAGGCCUGGGUAGAUCAUGAAUGUUGCGGGCCUGAAUGUCGUGGGCCUGGGUAGAUCAUGAAUGUCGUGGGCCUGGGUAGGUAAUGAAUGUCGCGGGCCUGGGUAGGUAAGGAAUGUCGUGGACCUGGGCAGGUAAUGAAUGUCGUGGGCCUGGGUAGAUCAUGAAUGUCGCGGGCCUGACUGUCGUGGGCCUGGGUAGGUAGUGAAUGUCGCGGGCCUGGGUAGGUGAUGGAUGUCGUGGGCCUGGGUAGGUAAUGAAUGUCGUGGGCCUGGGUAGGUAAUGAAUGUCGUAGGUCUGGGUAGAUCAUGAAUGUUGCGGGCCUGAAUGUCGUGGGCCUGGGUAGGUAAUGAAUGUCGUGGGCCUGGGUAGAUCAUGAAUGUCGCGGGCCUGACUGUCGUGGGCCUGGGUAGGUAGUGAAUGUCACGGGCCUGGGUAGGUAAUGGAUGUCGUGGGCCUGGGUAGGUAAUGAAUGUCGUGGGCCUGGGUAGGUAAUGAAUGUCGCGGGCCUGGGUCGGUAAUGAAUGUCGUGGGCCUGGGUAGAUAAUGAAUGUCGUGGGCCUGGGUAGAUAAUGAAUGUCGUGGGCCUGGGUAGACAAUGAACUUUGUGGGCCUGGGUAGAUAAUGAAUGCUGUGGGCCUGGGUAGAUAAUGAAUGUCGUGGGCCUGGGUACAUAAUGAAUGUCGCGGGCCUGGGUCGGUAAUGAAUGUCGCGGGCCUGAAUGUCGCGGGCCUGGGUCUGUAAUGAAUGUCGUGGGCCUGGGUAGGUGAUGAAUGUCGUGGGCCUGAAUGUUGUGGGCCUGGGUCGGUAAUGAAUGUCGUGGGCCUGGGUAGGUAAUGAAUGUCGUGGGCCUGAAUGUUGUGGGCCUGGGUAGGUAAUGAAUGUCGUGGGCCUGAAUGUCGCGGGCCUGGGUCGGUAAUGGAUGUCGCGGGCCUGGGUCGGUAAUGAAUGUCGCGGGCCUGGGUAGGUAAUGAAUGCCGUGGGCCUGGGUAGAUAAUGAAUGUCGUGGGCCUGGGUAGAUAAUGAAUGUCGUGGGCCUGGGUCGGUAAUGAAUGUCAUGGGCCUGGGUAGAUUAUAAAUGUCGCAGGCUUGAAUAUCACGGGCAUGGGUAUGAUUCGGGCUUAAAAUUCAUGCCAGUGCAGGGCUCUCCCAGAAUAUUCUAUAGCAUAAUGUGGUUAGCUGAUACGUAAAAUACCUAUCCAGGCUUUGUCAUUUCUGGCAUGAAUCAGCUAUAUCUGAGCAAUAUCCCUCCCCACUCCAUCUGCAGUAUAGGUUUGGUAGUCUUUAUAACAGAGUGUAUAUGCUCUGUCCUCGUUGGCUGGCUGGGUCCUUGCUGACAGGUUGGCAGUGAGAGGUAUCAUUUAUCACCAGGCCUGAGGGCUCACCACACCACAAGCACCAGAUGUUACCACCACACACACACACACACACACACACAUAUACAUACACCGUUGUGUGCUAUUGUUCUCCCUCACCGGUCUUUGUUCUUUCUCCCCCAUACACACCUGGAUAUCCACACACACACACACCAAAGCAAGCUGUCCUUCCUUCCACACAAAUGACCAGCUCAGUACUGUGUGUACUGUAGUGACUUCACCCUCACUGGUACAGCAAGGCAACAGACUGUUGAUACAUGACAUCAACAUACUGUUGACUUCAACAUAAAACACAGGACGUCCUCCAACCUAUCAGAGUUCUUGCAGCAUAAACUGACAUGUUGUCCACCCAAUCAAAGGUUGAGAGAAUUUAUCUAGUACUGAAAUCAUAAGUUACAGCUAGCUAGCACUGCAGUGCAUAAAAUGUGGUGAGUAUUUGACUCAAAGUGAGAAAAAUAAUAAUUUCUUCCAAAAUUAUGGAGAAGCAAGAAAGUGAGAAAGAGAGCUAGUUCUUGUAAUUCUUACCAGCAAUCUGGCCAUCCAAAAUCACAACAACACACUGACCUCUGCCCCAUGGAAGUGCACACAUAAUUUGUGUGACAUUGUCAGCUAACCCAUCUAUACCCCUAUGCCUGAGACGGAAGAAGAAGCAAGACAUCCCACUCCCUAAUUUUUUCUGGUUCAUAUACAGUCAAUGAACUAAGCAGACCCAUUUGCUAAUGCAUUGGUGCCUAUGAGAGAGCCACACUGUUAAGCAGACCGGAACUGACAGUGGGAGAUCUUUAUUUAUCCACCAUCUUUGGUCAGGCAUCAUUGAUGUGGUCCUUUGUACCACAGUUGGUAGAGCAUGGCAUUUGUAGCGCCAAG